CAAUAGCGUAUAUUAAAGUUGUUGCAGUUAAAAAGCUCGUAGUUGGAUUUCUGGUGGGAGCGAUCGGUCUGGCGCUUAGCGCGAGUACUUGCAUCGUCUCCGGCCAUCCUUGGGGAGAGUCUGUCUGGCAUUAAGUUGUCGGGCAGAGGAUCCUCAUCGUUUACUGUGAAAAAAUUAGAGUGUUCAAAGCAGGCUUAUGCCGUUGAAUAUAUUAGCAUGGAAUAAUAAGAUAGGACUUUUGUACUAUUUUGUUGGUUUGCGCACCAAAGUAAUGAUUAAUAGGGACAGUUGGGGGUAUUCGUAUUCCGUUGUCAGAGGUGAAAUUCUUGGAUUUACGGAAGACGAACUACUGCGAAAGCAUUUACCAAGGAUGUUUUCAUUAA
rnacentral:rRNA from 1 species